GUGGGGAAUCUUGCGCAAUGGGCGAAAGCCUGACGCAGCCAUGCCGCGUGAAUGAUGAAGGUCUUAGGAUUGUAAAAUUCUUUCACCGGGGACGAUAAUGACGGUACCCGGAGAAGAAGCUCCGGCUAACUUCGUGCCAGCAGCCGCGGUAAUACGAAGGGGGCUAGCGUUGCUCGGAAUUACUGGGCGUAAAGGGCGCGUAGGCGGACAGCUUAGUCAGAGGUGAAAGCCCAGGGCUCAACCUUGGAAUUGCCUUUGAUACUGGCUGUCUUGAGUUUGGGAGAGGUGAGUGGAACUCCGAGUGUAGAGGUGAAAUUCGUAGAUAUUCGGAAGAACACCAGUGGCGAAGGCGACUCACUGGCCCAAUACUGACGCUGAGGCGCGAAAGCGUGGGGAGCAAACAGGAUUAGAAACCCUAGUAGUCC
rnacentral:rRNA from 1 species